rnacentral:rRNA from 1 species
AACGAACGCUGGCGGCGCGUCUUAAGCAUGCAAGUCGAGCGGCAAGAUGGGGUUCGCCCCGUCCCAGAGCGGCGGACUGGUGAGUAACACGUGGGUGACGCACCCUCGGGAUCGGGAUAGCCUGCAGAAAUGCAGGGUAAUACCGGAUGAUGUCCGUGCAGCCGGAAUGCACGGAGGAAAGGGGCUUCGGCCCCGCCGGAGGAACGGCCCGCGGCCCAUCAGCUAGUUGGCGGGGAAAAGGCCCACCAAGGCGAUGACGGGUACCCGGCCUCAGAGGGCGACCGGGCACAUUGGGACUGAGAUACGGCCCAGACUCCUACGGGAGGCAGCAGCUAAGAAUAUUCCGCAAUGGGGGAAACCCUGACGGAGCGACGCCGCGUGGACGAGGAAGGCCGGAAGGUUGUAAAGUCCUUUUCCAGCCGAGGAAGAAGCGGGGGAGGGAAUGCCCCCGCGGUGACUGUAGGCUGGGAAUAAGCACCGGCUAAUUACGUGCCAGCAGCCGCCGUAACAC